GACGAACGCUGGCGGCGUGCUUAACACAUGCAAGUCGAACGAAGAGCGAUGGAAGCUUGCUUCUAUCAAUCUUAGUGGCGAACGGGUGAGUAACGCGUAAUCAACCUGCCCUUCAGAGGGGGACAACAGUUGGAAACGACUGCUAAUACCGCAUACGAUCUAAUCUCGGCAUCGAGGAUAGAUGAAAGGUGGCCUCUACAUGUAAGCUAUCACUGAAGGAGGGGAUUGCGUCUGAUUAGCUAGUUGGAGGGGUAACGGCCCACCAAGGCGAUGAUCAGUAGCCGGUCUGAGAGGAUGAACGGCCACAUUGGGACUGAGACACGGCCCAGACUCCUACGGGAGGCAGCAGUGGGGAAUCUUCCGCAAUGGACGAAAGUCUGACGGAGCAACGCCGCGUGAGUGAUGACGGCCUUCGGGUUGUAAAGCUCUGUUAAUCGGGACGAAAGGCCUUCUUGCGAAUAGGGAGAAGGAUUGACGGUACCGGAAUAGAAAGUCACGGCUAACUACGUG
rnacentral:rRNA from 1 species